GUGUCAGCCGCCGCGGUAAUACGAAUCGUCCAAACGUUGUUCGGAUUCACUGGGUUUAAAGGGCGCGUAGGCGGUGCGUUAAGUCGGCGGUGAAAUACUUCGGCUCAACCGGAGAAUUGCCGCUGAAACUGGCGUGCUCGAGGGAGGUAGAGGUGCGUGGAACUUCCGGUGGAGCGGUGAAAUGCGUUGAUAUCGGAAGGAACACCUGUGGCGAAAGCGAUGCACUGGACCUCUUCUGACGCUGAGGCGCGAAAGCCAGGGGAGCGAACGGGAUUAGAUACCCCGGUAGUCCUGGCCAUAAACGAUGGGGACUAGAGAGUAGAUGCUCCGAUGUGUUUACUCUCGAAGCAAAAGUGCUAAGUCCCCCACCUGGGGAGUAUGGUCGCAAGGCUGAA
rnacentral:rRNA from 1 species